AAAUCCUAUUCUAAUUGCGCUCUCUCUUUCUUUUUCACUCACUCACAGAGUCGCUUUUCCUAAUUUUUUUAAUAUUAUAAUAUCGUAUUUCAUGCAUUCAUUUUGUAUGUUGAGUUAUUAGACAUUUUUUGUAUCGAAUUUUAGAUAAUAUUUUAUAAAAAUUAAACUAUAAAUUGCACAAUGUUAAGAAUUUCAAACAGCCCGUUUAG
rnacentral:lncRNA from 1 species